UCCUGGCUCAGGACGAACGCUGGCGGCGCGCUUAACACAUGCAAGUCGAACGAUGAAGCGGUGCUUGCACCGUGGAUUAGCGGCGAACGGGUGAGUAAUACGUGAGUGACCUACCUUUGACUCUGGGAUAAGCCUGGGAAACUGGGUCUAAUACCGGAUACGACCAAUCUCUGCAUGGGGUGUUGGUGGAAAGCGUUAUGGAGUGGUUUUAGAUGGGCUCACGGCCUAUCAGCUUGUUGGUGAGGUAAUGGCUUACCAAGGCGACGACGGGUAGCCGGCCUGAGAGGGUGACCGGCCACACUGGGACUGAGACACGGCCCAGACUCCUACGGGAGGCAGCAGUGGGGAAUAUUGCACAAUGGGCGCAAGCCUGAUGCAGCGACGCCGCGUGAGGGAUGACGGCCUUCGGGUUGUAAACCUCUGUUAGCAUCGAAGAAGCGAAAGUGACGGUAGGUGCAGAGAAAGCGCCGGCUAACUACGUGCCAGCAGCCGCGGUAAUACGUAGGGCGCGAGCGUUGUCCGGAAUUAUUGGGCGUAAAGAGCUUGUAGGGCGGUUGGUCGCGUCUGCUGUGAAAGGCCGGGGCUUAACUCCGGUUUUGCAGUGGGUACGGGCUAACUAGAGUGCAGUAGGGGAGACUGGAAUUCCUGGUGUAGCGGUGGAAUGCACAGAUAUCAGGAGGAACACCGAUGGCGAAGGCAGGUCUCUGGGCUGUAACUGACGCUGAGAAGCGAAAGCAUGGGGAGCGAACAGGAUUAGAUACCCUGGUAGUCCAUGCCGUAAACGUUGGGCACUAGGUGUGGGGGACAUUCCACGUUUUCCGCGCCGUAGCUAACGCAUUAAGUGCCCCGCCUGGGGAGUACGGCCGCAAGGCUAAAACUCAAAGGAAUUGACGGGGGCCCGCACAAGCGGCGGAGCAUGCGGAUUAAUUCGAUGCAACGCGAAGAACCUUACCAAGGCUUGACAUGCAUUAGAUCGCGUCAGAGAUGGCGUUUCCCUUCGGGGCUGGUGUACAGGUGGUGCAUGGUUGUCGUCAGCUCGUGUCGUGAGAUGUUGGGUUAAGUCCCGCAACGAGCGCAACCCUCGUUCUAUGUUGCCAGCGGUUCGGCCGGGGACUCAUAGGAGACUGCCGGGGUCAACUCGGAGGAAGGUGGGGAUGACGUCAAAUCAUCAUGCCCCUUAUGUCUUGGGCUUCACGCAUGCUACAAUGGCCGGUACAGAGGGUUGCGAUACUGUGAGGUGGAGCUAAUCCCUUAAAGCCGGUCUCAGUUCGGAUUGGGGUCUGCAACUCGACCCCAUGAAGUCGGAGUCGCUAGUAAUCGCAGAUCAGCAACGCUGCGGUGAAUACGUUCCCGGGCCUUGCACACACCGCCCGUC
rnacentral:rRNA from 1 species